CCUACGGGAGACAGCAGUGGGGGAUAUUGCACAAUGGGGGGAACCCUGAUGCAGCGACGCCGCGUGGGGGAAGAAGCGCCUCGGCGCGUAAAGCUCUGUCAGCAGGGGAGAAAAUGAAGGUACCUGAAGAAGAAGCCGGGGACGAAUACGUGCCAGCAGCCGCGGUAACGAGGAGGGGGCCAGCGUUAUCCGGAUUUAGUGGGUGUAAUGGGGGCGUAGACGGGGCUGAAAGCCAGGAGUGAAAGCCUGGGGCCCAACCCCGGGACAGCCGUUGAAACUGCGUGGCUUGAGAGGAGGAGAGGCAGGCGGAAUGCGCGGUGUAGCGGUGAAAUGCGUAGAUAUCAGGAAGAACACCGGUGGCGAAGGCAGCCUGCUGGAGUGCAACUGACGUUGAGGCACGAAAGCGUGGGUAUCGAACAGGAUUAGAUACCCGAGUAGUC
rnacentral:rRNA from 1 species